GUGCCAGCAGCCGCGGUAAUACGUAGGGUGCGAGCGUUAAUCGGAAUUACUGGGCGUAAAGCGUGCGUAGGCGGUUUUUCAAGCUUGAUGUGAAAGCCCCGGGCUUAACCUGGGAAUGGCAUUGAGGACUGAGAGGCUAGAGUGCGGCAGAGGGAGGUGGAAUUCCACGUGUAGCAGUGAAAUGCGUAGAGAUGUGGAGGAACACCGAUGGCGAAGGCAGCCUCCUGGGCCGACACUGACGCUGAUGCACGAAAGCGUGGGGAGCAAACAGGAUUAGAAACCCCCGUAGUCC
rnacentral:rRNA from 1 species